rnacentral:lncRNA from 1 species
UUCAAACCAGAUUUAAAACACUAAAGAACAGGACUCACAAUGAAUGUGCCGAUCGGUCAACUGCAGAAUAUGCUAAACUGUUUUCACAAUGUGCAAUUGAUCUAGGCUAUGCCUUUCAUUGAUCUUUGCAGUAUGCACUUGCUGUUGGACAGCAACUCAACUUCAUAACCAGACUUCAAUCAAACAAAAUUAAAACUGAUUGUAGUGUUGCAAAGAUCAAAACAGAUUCACAAAUAGGAGAUUCGUUAUCACUACCACUGAAAUCUGCCACCAAGCUCAUUUAUCGAAAUGUCAUAGCUUAUAUAUAGUGUACAGAACUUACUCAGUGCAGGGAACUCAAAUGAAUCACAAAAUACGAGCAACAACUAGUU